ensembl:rRNA 5S_rRNA 5S ribosomal RNA
GUCUAUAGCCAAGCUACUCUGAACAAGCCUGAUCCUGUCUGAUCUCAGAAGCUAAGCAGGGUCGGGCCUGGUUAAUACUUGGAUGGGAGAUCAUCUAGGAAUACUGGGUGCUGUUGACA